CAACAUUAGUCUCUGAUCUGUGUCUUUAUGAGCAAUGCGAGUGUAGCCACUAAGGUUUUUUUUCAGUAAAACUUGUUCAGUAUUGUCUUUAUUUCUAAAGAGAGCCUCAAGCACGAUGCAAAAAGGCUUUAUUUUUCUACUGAUUAUUUGGAACUCAUCCCCUUUUGCCUCAGGAAAAACCACAAAUCAUCAUCAAUUCUCGCUGGGAUGUCAAGCUGUGAUACCUUGUAAACAUUACAGAACGGAUUCACACUCAUGGUUUUACAAGAAGGAUGAACAUAGCAACACAAUACGGAUAUAUUUUAAGGAUAAAAAAGGAGUAGAAUACCAUGAGCAGCUCUUACGAAAAAGAGUGAAGGUGCUGAGAAACGGUUCGUUGGCCAUUAAUAUUUUCGCAGAGGAUGAUCAAGGCCUUUACUGGUGUGAACAUUGUUUUCAAGGCAACUGUUGGGUUGACCCCCCCGAAGUCAUCGGCAUGAAGAAAGAAAUUCUGGAAGAAACUCGGGAGACAUUCUACAUUGUUGCAGGCGAAGGUUUCACUCAUGCUUGCCCGGACGAAUUCACUGACUUAAAAUGGACAUUUGAAGCAAGUAACAUGGCUGCGCUCAGAAACUUGAUACAAGGAUCAGAAUCAGACUUUGUUACUUCCAACCAGUCUAUGCACAUUGUAAAAGUCAAAAGAGCAGAUGCUGGGAAAUAUACCUGCUGGAAAAGGGGAUGUAAUGGACGCAGGCAGAAGCUGCUUACGAUCAACUUGUGUGUAAUUACAGUACACCACAGUGAGGAUUCCUCUGUUUCAUGUGAUGUGAUGUGUGACAUGGAAUUCAGUUACGUCAAACCAAACAGCACAUUAAAAGUGGAGACAGGCGCAGGGACAACAUCAGUGCUUGUACAUCCAAAUGUGUCUUUAAACUGCAGUGCAAAGCAGAUGUUUGAUGGACACAGUACAGUUAACAGCACCCACGGACCAUCAAAUGCUUUAAACAAAACAACAGAUAUACCUCCGGAAGCUGAACAUCUGAUUCCAAUUAUUUAUGGAAUAUCAUCAGCCGUUACAUGUCUUACUUUAAUGGCACUUUUAAUUUGCUACCUCAGACCAAGCUUGUGGGCAGGUAGGAUCAGCUCUUUGUCUUAUUCAUUUCCUGUGAAUUGUUUUUUCAGUGGUCUACUGCCCUGA
rnacentral:lncRNA from 1 species